UCACAUGUGUGCAGUAUGUGUCUGUGUCACAUUCAUCUCCGCAGUGUUUCAUCCAUGUUCCCGUCUGCCGCUCUCUGGAGCUUCUCCUCGUCUCAGAAAUUCCUAUUUGACUCCGAUUCACAUCAUAGAAAAGGCUUCUAAUGUGCAGAUGAGACCCUGAGGCUGAAUCCCUGCUCACCCGGAGGUGUGAGCGCUUCAUUCUGAUUUGUGGAACUUCCUGAGGUGACUGUGGUAUGUGGAUGACUGGCGGAAGCUGCUAUCACACAGGGAGCAGGAGUAUGGCUUCUUUCCUGUGUGGAUCCUCUCAUGAGCCUGCAGGUUGGUCUUGUAUCGGAAGGCCCUUCCACAGGCAUCGCAUGUGAAAGGCUUCCCUGCCUUGUGUAUGACCUCAUGAACUCGAAGUUCCGAGACUUGGUGAAAGCCUGUCUGGCACACCUUACAGAAGAAUGGCCUCUCCUUCUUGUGUGUUUUCGGGUGGAUGGAGAGUUUGCAGGGAUAUUUGAAGGUUCUGGGACAUUCCUCGCAUUUGUAUGGUUUGGGUCUCUCUGGAGUCUCUCUUGGUUACCCUUAAAGGUGGAAUUUGCCUCAUGAUUCUGGAAAAGAGGGACAGACUUAGGGGUAGAUUGCUCUGGCCUGCAGAGGAAGCCUGGGACCUCCAUAGGGACAACUCCAGGAGAAGCUGCCCACAGAGACAUGUCUAGGGACCUGCGGGUACUGCACACUGCUAUUCUUAAAUCCUGAGGCUCUCUGUAAUAAAAGCCUUUCCACAUCA